AGGAUGAACGCUGGCGGCGUGCCUAAGACAUGCAAGUCGAGUGGGUUUAGACCCACGGCGAACGGGUGAGUAAUACCUAGGAACUUUCUUUAAGUGGAGCAUAACCAGUCGAAAGAUUGGAUAAUACUUCAUGUGAUAGCAAUAUCAAAGUCGCAAGACGCUUAAAGUGAGGCCUGGGCACCAUCAGCUAGUUGGUAAGGUAACGGCUUACCAAGGCUAUGACGGUUAGGGGUCCCGAGAGGGAUAACCCCCACACUGGAACUGCGACACGGUCCAGACUCCUACGGGAGGCAGCAGUUUGGAAUUUUGGACAAUGGGCAAAGCCUGAUCCAGCGACGCCGCGUGGACGAUGAAGGCCUUCGGGUCGUAAAGUCCUUUUGGCUCGGGAACAAUAUUUUGAGCGUACCGAGAGAAUAAGAGGUUGCUAACUCUGCGCCAGCAGCCGC
rnacentral:rRNA from 1 species